GAUGAACGCUGGCGGCGUGCCUAAUACAUGCAAGUCGAGCGAACGGACGAGAAGCUUGCUUCUCUGAUGUUAGCGGCGGACGGGUGAGUAACACGUGGAUAUCCUACCUAUAAGACUGGGAUAACUUCGGGAAACCGUAGCUAAUACCGGAUAAUAUUUUGAACCGCAUGGUUCAAAAGUGAAAGACGGUCUUGCUGUCACUUAUAGAUGGAUCCGCGCUGCAUUAGCUAGUUGGUAAGGUAACGGCUUACCAAGGCAACGAUGCAUAGCCGACCUGAGAGGGUGAUCGGCCACACUGGAACUGAGACACGGUCCAGACUCCUACGGGAGGCAGCAGUAGGGAAUCUUCCGCAAUGGGCGAAAGCCUGACGGAGCAACGCCGCGUGAGUGAUGAAGGUCUUCGGAUCGUAAAACUCUGUUAUUAGGGAAGAACAUAUGUGUAAGUAACUGUGCACAUCUUGACGGUACCUAAUCAGAAAGCCACUGCUAACUACGUG
rnacentral:rRNA from 1 species